ACGAACGCUGGCGGCGUGCUUAACACAUGCAAGUCGAGCGGUAAGGCCCUUUCGGGGGUACACGAGCGGCGAACGGGUGAGUAACACGUGGGUGACCUGCCCUCAGCUCUGGGAUAAGCCUGGGAAACCGGGUCUAAUACUGGAUAUGACUCCAUGACGCAUGUUGUGGGGUGGAAAGCCUUGUGCGGCUGAGGAUGGGCCCGCGGCCUAUCAGCUUGUUGUGGGGUGANGGCCUACCAAGGCGACGACGGGUAGCCGGCCUGAGAGGGCGACCGGCCACACUGGGACUGAGACACGGCCCAGACUCCUACGGGAGGCAGCAGUGGGGAAUCUUGCGCAAUGGGCGAAAGCCUGACGCAGCGACGCCGCGUGAGGGAUGACGGCCUCGGUUGUAAC
rnacentral:rRNA from 1 species